CGCGUAGGCGGUCUUUUAAGUCAGAUGUGAAAGCCCGAGGCUUAACCUCGGAAGUGCAUUUGAAACUGGAGGACUUGAGUAUGGGAGAGGGAAGUGGAAUUCCUGGUGUAGAGGUGAAAUUCGUAGAUAUCAGGAGGAACAUCGGUGGCGAAGGCGACUUCCUGGACCAAUACUGACGCUGAGGCGCGAAGGCGUGGGGAGCAAACAGGAUUAGAUACCCUGGUAGUC
rnacentral:rRNA from 1 species